CUGCUGCCUCCCGUAGGAGUCUGGUCCGUGUCUCAGUACCAGUGUGGGGGACCUUCCUCUCAGAACCCCUACGCAUCGUCGCCUUGGUGGGCCGUUACCCCGCCAACAAGCUAAUGCGACGCAUGGCCAUCCGCAGCCGGUAAACCUUUGGACCCGAAGGGAUGCCCCUCCGGGUCGUUACGCGGUAUUAGACGGGGUUUCCCCCGAUUAUCCCCCUGCUGCGGGCAGGUUCCAUACGUGUUACUCACCCGUGCGCCGGUCGCCGGCGGAAGCGCGAACGCUCCCCCG
rnacentral:rRNA from 1 species